UGGACUUGACAUGUUAGUGAAACUCCGGUGAAAGCCGGAGCCUCCGCGAGCUUGCUCAAGGACACUAUCAC
rnacentral:rRNA from 1 species